UACGAAGGGGGCUAGCGUUGCUCGGAAUCACUGGGCGUAAAGCGCACGUAGGCGGCUUUUUAAGUCAGGGGUGAAAUCCUGGAGCUCAACUCCAGAACUGCCUUUGAUACUGAGAAGCUUGAGUUCGGGAGAGGUGAGUGGAACUGCGAGUGUAGAGGUGAAAUUCGUAGAUAUUCGCAAGAACACCAGUGGCGAAGGCGCUCACUGGCCCGAUACUGACGCUGAGGUGCGAACAGCGUGGGGAGCAAACGAGGA
rnacentral:rRNA from 1 species